GAGUUUGAUCCUGGCUCAGGAUGAACGCUAGCGACAGGCUUAACACAUGCAAGUCGAGGGGCAGCGGGGGAGCAGCAAUGCUCCUGCCGGCGACCGGCGCACGGGUGAGUAACACGUAUGGAACCUGCCCGCAGCAGGGGGAUAAGCGGAAGAAAUUCCGUCUAAUACCGCGUAACACCGCGGAGGGGCAUCCCUCGGCGGUUAAAGAUUCAUCGGCUGCGGAUGGCCAUGCGGCGCAUUAGCUAGUCGGCGGGGUAACGGCCCACCGAGGCGACGAUGCGUAGGGGUUCUGAGAGGAAGGUCCCCCACACUGGUACUGAGACACGGACCAGACUCCUACGGGAGGCAGCAGUGAGGAAUAUUGGUCAAUGGCCGGGAGGCUGAACCAGCCAAGUCGCGUGAGGGAAGACGGCCCUACGGGUUGUAAACCUCUUUUGUCAGGGAGCAAGAGGCGGGUCGGGACCUGCUGUGAGAGUACCUGAAGAAAAAGCAUCGGCUAACUCCGUGCCAGCAGCCGCGGUAAUACGGAGGAUGCGAGCGUUAUCCGGAUUUAUUGGGUUUAAAGGGUGCGCAGGCGGAGGCACAAGUCAGCGGUAAAAUCGCGGGGCUCAACCCCGCUCCGCCGUUGAAACUGUGUCCCUUGAGUGCGCGAAGGGUAGGCGGAAUGCGUGGUGUAGCGGUGAAAUGCAUAGAUAUCACGCAGAACUCCGAUCGCGAAGGCAGCCUACCGGCGCGCGACUGACGCUCAUGCACGAAAGCGUGGGUAUCGAACAGGAUUAGAUACCCUGGUAGUCCACGCAGUAAACGAUGAAUGCUAUCUGUCCGGCCGGAAUGACGGCUGGGUGGCACAGCGAAAGCGUUAAGCAUUCCACCUGGGGAGUACGCCGGCAACGGUGAAACUCAAAGGAAUUGACGG
rnacentral:rRNA from 1 species